AAUCUACCUACAGACUCGGGACAACAGUUAGAAAUGACUGCUAAUACCGGAUAUGCCGAGAGGUGAAAGAUUUAUCAUCUGUAGAUGAGCUUGCGUCCGAUUAGCUAGAUGGUGAGGUAAUGGCUUACCAUGGCGACGAUCGGUAGCUGGUCUGAGAGGAUGACCAGUCACACUGGGACUGAGACACGGCCCAGACUCCUACGGGAGGCAGCAGUGGGGAAUUUUCCGCAAUGGGCGAAAGCCUGACGGAGCAAUACCGCGUGAGG
rnacentral:rRNA from 1 species